rnacentral:rRNA from 1 species
CACCAGACUCCUACGGGAGGCAGCAGUGGGGAAUAUUGCACAAUGGGGGAAACCCUGAUGCAGCGACGCCGCGUGAGUGAAGAAGUAUUUCGUUAUGUAAAGCUCUAUCAGCAGGGAAGAAAAUGACGGUACCUGAGUAAGAAGCCCCGGCUAACUACGUGCCAGCAGCCGCGGUAAUACGUAGGGGGCAAGCGUUAUCCGGAUUUACUGGGUGUAAAGGGGGCGCAGACGGCGAUGCAAGCCAGGAGUGAAAGCCCGGGGCCCAACCCCGGGACUGCUCUUGGAACUGCGUGGCUAGAGUGCAGGAGGGGCAGGCGGAAUUCCUGGUGUAGCGGUGAAAUGCGUAGAUAUCAGGAGGAACACCGGUGGCGAAGGCGGCCUGCUGGACUGCAACUGACGUCGAGGCCCGAAAGCGUGGGGAGCAAACAGGAUUAGAUACCCUAGUA